rnacentral:rRNA from 1 species
CAGGCCUACACAUGCAAGUCGAGGGGUAACAGGUCUUCGGACGCUGACGACCGGCAACGGGUGCGGAACACGUACGCAACAUACCCUCUACAGGGGGAUAGCCCGAGAAAUCCGGAUUAACACCCCAUAAUAUAAUUGAAAGGCAUCUUUUGGUAUUAAAAAUUUAUUGGUAGAGGAUUGGCGUGCGUCCCAUUAGAGAGUUGCGGGGUAACGGCCCACCAAGUCAGCGAUGGGUAGCUGGUGUGAGAGCACACCAGCCACACGGGCACUGAGACACGGGCCCGACUCCUACGGGAGGCAGAGUGAGGAAUAUUGGUCAAUGGGCGCAAGUCUGAACCAGCCAUGCCGCGGGAGGAUGACAGCCUUCUGGGUUGUAAACUUCUUUUAUAUGGGAAGAAAGCGAGGUUUCUACUUCGUCCGACGGUACCAUAUGAAUAAGCACCGGCUACUCCGUGCCAGCAGCCGCG